AAAACGAGGAGGAGGACCUCCUCCACCGGCAGCGGUAGUGCACUGCUCGAGGUGGCAGUGCUUUGGCUGGCGCGCUGUAGGCUAACCAGCAGGCGCAAUGGCCUACUACCACGCGCGCAGUGGCUAACUGCGAGCAUGCAAGGCCUAAGCGUGUUGGGCGCCGCGCGCACAGGUUUACUACGCGCACACCCCAGGUGCACAGGGCCUAUUCGUGUAGG
rnacentral:lncRNA from 1 species